UACGGGGGGGGUAAGCGUUGUUCGGAAUUACUGGGCGUAAAGCGCGCGUAGGCGGCUUUGCAAGUCGGGUGUGAAAUCCCCAGGCUUAACCUGGGAACUGCAUUCGAGACUGCAUUGCUAGAGUAUGGGAGAGGGAAGUGGAAUUUCCGGUGUAGCGGUGAAAUGCGCAGAUAUCGGGAGGAACACCGGUGGCGAAGGCGGUUCUCUGGGCCUUACCUGACGCUGAGGAGCGAAAGCGUGGGGAGCGAACGGG
rnacentral:rRNA from 1 species